UAUAGUUGUAGUUUCUCAUGCCUCGAGAGAAAUAACCUCUUUACAGGAAAUUACAACAUUAGAUCUUUGCUGCAAAACUUCGUCAAGAAUGUGCGUAAGCACCGAGAGUAUUAGUCAUGUUACGCUUCUUAUAAAGCCAGCGGAUGUUCAUUAUGAUUCCUCAUGAAUUAGUAUUCUCCAAAGGUCCCCUCUUAUCUCUUCGAGGAACUGCAAUUUGAUACUAUUUUUCCAGCCAGGUCAUUGUUUUGUCUGCCUGAUUGCAUGAGAAUGAAAGAAAAAGUCCUGCUACGUUUAUUCAAAGGGACAUUUUGGAAGUCCUGAAAAUUCUUAAGGCUAAACGUUAGACCCAUAGAGGAGGAUUUUAUAUAUCAAGAUGGAUAAGACACUGGAGAAAAAGUUCCGGUCUGACCAGAUGUUUAACCUCAUAAACAAAAAAUUUGUUUCUUUACAAAAAGACGAUAUCAAAAAGAAUAAUCAACACUUAAGUAAGGUCUGAAAAAUUCUAAAUGUCAUAAUGUUU